rnacentral:rRNA from 1 species
UGAGGAACAUGACCUUCGGCGGGGGAUAGCCGGCCCAACGGCCGGGUAAUACCGCGUACGACCACUUUGGGACAUCCCUCGGUGGUGAAAGCAGCAAUGCGCCGAUGGAGUGCCUCGCGGCCUAUCAGCUAGUUGGUGAGGUAACGGCUCACCAAGGCGACGACGGGUAGCCGGCCUGAGAGGGUGACCGGCCACACUGGGACUGAGACACGGUCCAGACUCCUACGGAAGGCAG